AUUGAACGCUGGCGGCAGGCCUAACACAUGCAAGUCGAGCGGCAGCAGAGUACUUGCUCCUGGUUUCGGGGGCGGACGGGCGGGUGAUGCCUAGGAACAUCCCUGUUAGUGGGGUAUAACGUCCUAAAGCGGGGGCUCAUACCCCAUUAGUCCUGAGGGCGAACGUGGGGGAUCUUCGGACCUCCCGCUAUCAGGUGAGCCUAGGUCGGAUUAGCUAGUUGGCGGGGUAAAGGCCUACCAAGGCGACGAUCCGUAGCUGGUCUGAGAGGAUGAUCAGCCACACUGGAACUGAGACACGGUCCAGACUCCUACGGGAGGCAGCAGUGGGGAAUAUUGGACAAUGGGCGAAAGCCUGAUCCAGCCAUGCCGCGUGGGUGAAGAAGGUCUUCGGAUUGUAAAGCCCUUUUAGUGGGGAGGAAGAGCAGUAAGUUAAUACCUCGCUGUUUUGACGUUACCAACAGAAUAAGCACCGGCUAACUUCGUG
rnacentral:rRNA from 1 species